rnacentral:rRNA from 1 species
UCCUACGGGAGGCAGCAGUGGGGAAUUUUGGACAAUGGGCGAAAGCGUGAUCCAGCAAUGCCGCGUGAGUGAAGACGGCCUUCGGGUUGUAAAGCUCUUAUGUCAGGGAAGAAACGGUGUGGGCUAAUAUCCCGUGCUAAUGACGGUACCCGAAGAAUAAGCCCCGGCUAAAUACGUGCCAGCAGCCGCGGUAAUAUGUAGGGGGCAAGCGUUUUUCGGAAUUUCUGGGCGUAAAGCGUGCGCAGGCGGUUUUGUAAGUCUGUCGUGAAAUCCCCGGGCUCAACCUGGGAAUUGCGAUGGAGACUGCAAGGCUAGAAUGUGGCAGAGGGGGGUAGAAUUCCACGUGUAGCAGUGAAAUGCGUAGAGAUGUGGAGGAACACCGAUGGCGAAGGCAGCCCCCUGGGUCAAGAUUGACGCUCAUGCACGAAAGCGUGGGGAGCAAACAGGAUUAGAUACCCUGGUAGUCCACGCCCUAAACGAUGUGUAAUAGUUGUCGGGUUUUAAUUAACCGGUAACGCAGCUAACGC